rnacentral:rRNA from 1 species
AUUGAACGCUGGCGGCAGGCCUAACACAUGCAAGUCGAGCGGAGCGGCGGACGGGUGAGUAAUGCCUGGGAAAUUGCCCACUCGAGGGGGAUAACAGUUGGCAACGACUGCUAAUACCGCCUACUAUCAGCUGAGCCUAUGUCGGACUAGCUAGGUGGUGGGGUACAGGGCUACCAAGGCGACGAUGCGUAACUGGUCUGAGAGGUUGAUCAGUCAAACGGGAAGUGAGAGACGGUCCAGACUCCUACGGGAGGCAGCAGUGGGGAAUAUUGGACAAUGGGCGAAAGCCUGAUCCAGCCAUGCGGCGUGUGAGAAGAAGGUCUUCGGAGUGUAAAGCACUUUAAGUUGGGGGGCGUUACCAACAGAAUAAGAACCGGCUAACUUCGUGCCAGCAGCCGCGGUAAUUC